rnacentral:lncRNA from 1 species
UGAGGCUCUCCGGUUGUGCAAGAGAAGACAGAUCCUGAGCAAACUUACUGUGCUCAGGGCCACGAACCCAGAUGUUCCCAUGGUUUCCACUCUCGACUUGGAGGAGCUGCAGGAGUUGGAGGAAGCCACCUUCCAUCCUGACGAGGAGGAGCUGGAGGAGGAAGAAUGUGCCAACCAAGGCUGCAAACGGCAAAAAGCCUUGCUGAGAACCCAAGUGGUCGACCUGAAUCAACAGGUAGACAUAUUAACAGACAGCCUCCGGAAGGUGACCAGGCGAUACCGAAUCUUAAAAAGGAGGUUUGCCAGCCUCGGUGCGAUGCGAACAGGGCAGGUGGUCCGGAAGCUUCUAUCUUCUCUUGGACCAGAGGAAGAGGACGACACCCCAGUCAGCCCUGCUGCCCCCGCUGACCCCGCCGACCACGACCAGGCCACCUCAGCUGGUGAACCGUCCAGUUCUAAGCAGUCCAUCGAGCAAAAGGAUAAAGUCGGUGAGGAGCAACCGUCGGCAAGUGGCAGUCAGCAGUCGCCUGAGAAAAGCCCUCCCCCCUAUCCAGACCACGUGUCAGCACUCAAUGACAUGCUGGAGGAUUAUCGCCGCUUCAAGGAAGGCCCAGAUGCCAGCUAUAAGCUGAAGGAAAAUGUAAGCUGCCAGGUCUACAGGAUCAAAAAGUUCAUUGCUUACAUGUCAGAGGGAAAAAGCAAGCUGUCCGACUUUCUCUUCCUGAACAACAAAGCAAAGAUACACAUGUGGGUUAGCUCCCUCCGUCAGGCCCACAUGACGGUCACCACCCUACAACACUACGUACUGAACGUGGGAUGCUUCAUGCAGUACCUGGCGGAGACUCCUCCGCCAUCGUGCCGGCUGUCCAAGCAGUCGCUGAUCGGACUUCGACGGGAGAUAGCAGCGAUAAGAAGGUCUUUGAAGAGGGGAGUGGCCAUUCACCAGACGGC